AGGUAAUCAACAUGAUAUGCCUUAUAUUUUGAAUAUACCAAAAUAUCAUCUAUAAAAUCAAUUAUGAACAAAUCCAAGAGCUGACGGAAUACUCAAUUCAUGAGGUCCAUAAAUGCUGUCGGGGCAUUAGUCAAAACCAAAGGACAUCACCAAAAACUCAAAAUCACCAUACCGGGUUCGAAAUAAAGUCUUCGGGAUAUCCACUUCCC
rnacentral:lncRNA from 1 species